AUUGAACGCUGGCGGCAGGCCUAACACAUGCAAGUCGAACGAGUGGCGGACGGGUGAGUAAUGCAUGGGAAACUGCCCGAUGGAGGGGGAUAACUACUGGAAACGGUAGCUAAUACCGCAUACCAUCGGAUGUGCCCAGCUGGGAUUAGCUAGUAGGUGGGGUAACGGCUCACCUAGGCGACGAUCCCUAGCUGGUCUGAGAGGAUGACCAGACACACUGGAACGGAGACACGGUCCAGACUCCUACGGGAGGCAGCAGUGGGGAAUAUUGGACAAUGGGCGCAAGCCUGAUGCAGCCAUGCCGCGUGUAUGAAGAAGGCCGUCGGGUUGUAAAGUACUUUCAGCGAGGAGGCGUUACUCGCAGAAGAAGCACCGGCUAACUCCGUGCCAGCAGCCGCGGUAAUAC
rnacentral:rRNA from 1 species